CCUACGGGUGGCAGCAGUAGGGAAUUUUCGGCAAUGGGGGGAACCCUGACCGAGCAACGCCGCGUGAACGAAGAAGUUCUUCGUAAUGUAAAGUUCUUUUAACAGGGAAGAAAGAGAACUUUGACGGUAACUGAAGAAUAAGCUCCGGCUAACUACGUGCCAGCAGCCGCGUUCAUACGUAGUGAGCGAGUGUUAUCCGGAAUUAUUGGGCGUAAAGGGUGCGUAGAUGGCAUAGUAAGUCUUUGGUAAAAAUGCUGGGCUAAACCCAGUAGGGCAAAAGAGACUGGAAAGCUAGAGUAUGGCAGAGGUAAGUGGAACUACAUGUGUAGCGGUAAAAUGCGUAGAUAUAUGGAAGAACACCAGUGGCGAAGGCGGCUUGCUGGGUCGAUACUGACAUUGAGGCACGAAAGCGUGGGGAGCAAACAGGAUUAGAUACCCUGGUAGUC
rnacentral:rRNA from 1 species